ensembl:lncRNA
AUGCAGUGUGACUGGAAGAGUAUCAAAGAGUUUGGGACUUUCUAAAUCCAGACAUGCCACUUAAAGGCGUCAGCUCCAAGAUCCUCAGAACAUAGGGCACCUCGGAAACGGGACACACAUGCAUGCUGAUUGGAUUUUGAAAGUGUAAAAGUGAUUGCAGAAAGGACUUCCUGCUGCUGCUCUUUGCUUCCUCCACCACUGAGAGGAAAGGAAGUCUGGUGAUUUGGGUAUUAGCCCUGACACAUAACAGGCAAUGAAAUGCUGAUUGAGUGAAGGAAGAAUCUGUCUCCCAGUAUCGUGGGAACUCUUCUGAGACUGCAGGAUGGUGUGUGUGGUACUUGAUUGCAUUGUACAAACACACUAAUCUAGAGUAGAUUGAAAAGAAAGAAGAAGGUGAAGGAGCAGAGAUGAUUCAGGAGCAUGAGGCAAGAGCUCCACCUCUCACAAAGACUUGACGGUUGCAAUGCUCACAAGGGAAGAAUAUGGCAUGAAAAAGAUGACCUUCUCCAUAAACCUGGGACCCUAAACAAGCUACACUCUCAAGUUGAAGUAAAGACAAAUGAAUGUCCCCAUGGUGUAAUCGCCGGGUUGAAAAAUCAGGUGACUUCAGUCUUCAAAUUCCCUUUUAGCACAAUUAUCCCACACAGAGCUGAUGGAACUACCUCAUGAUGAUUUCAAAGAAAAUUCUCUUCUCUAAACACUUUUAUCCCAAGAAGGCAUCAGACCGGGACACUGAGUCCUGUUCCAGAUGGGUGUAUCACAGAACCACUUCCAGGAUGGUAGGGUCACCCCAGAGCCUAUGGAUCCAGAAAAUGUGAUGAUGCAACACAUACCCAACCUUGCUUCUGCCAACGUGGAUUCAGGGCGCCUGGUAGUGACUGAGCACUAAGCACAUGGCAAGCAUUCAACACAGAGAAAUGGAGAUACAUCUUGGAGAUAAAUAGAAGGCCAGCCUCCUCCUAUUGGAAGACGCUGGGUUGAGGUUCAGAGCAGGUAAGCCACUGGACCAGCAACCCCGACCUAGGCAGAAGCUGGCAUCCAGGCUCUCUGACAGAGCCUGCUCUCCCUCCAAAGAAGCUGGUCCUCUUCAUGCCUCUCUGGGCUUGUCUUCUACCUUCUCUCUUUUCCCAUAAGGGGUGUUUCUCUCUUUGUAUGCAAAUCCUUUUAGCCCUUCAACAAACAGGUCAAACCUCUGAAAACUCUGGCUUGCCCCAAUCUCACCCUCUCCAUACCACCAAGCAUAUUUAGUGUUUAGCUGUGGCAGGUGGUUGUAGCUAAUCUAACACUCUUCUUUUGUUAUCUGCUGGUGUUGUGUGUGGAAGUUUCUUCUCUCAGAUACACUCUCCAUCCUGAAAACAAGGACUGGAUUUUUACACUUUUUUUUUACCCCCACACCUAGUUUGGUAAGGGUUACUCUGUUGGUGUUAGGGUUGGAAGAAUUUAAUGGAAAUAUAUAAGGGAAAAAGGAUGUCAGUCACUAAGUUUUCUUACUCUAGGGAGAUGUAGAAGCUACAGUUUCUAGGGUAAAUAUGG